rnacentral:lncRNA from 1 species
AAGAGCAUUCACUUAAGGUGAGUAAGAAAUAAGUUGGGGAGAAUGAAAAUGAGAAUCAGUAAGUGCCACAACUCUUGAAAAACCGAGCAAGCAUUGAAAAUAAAAAGUAGAAAAGAAAAACAUCUGUUUUGUAAAUAUGAUGUGAAAGAAAAGAGAAAAAAAUAUAAUAUAGAGAAAAUAAAAAUGAAUGCUUGCUUGGAAGAAAAAUAGUGAAAAACAAAAAUUGA